UGAGUCUUAAUUUUCUCAUCUGUCCUUCGGGGAUAAUAAUAGCACCAAUCUUAUAGGAUUGUUGUAAUGAAUAAAUGACAUCAUGCACAUGGUAGGCCCUUAAUAAGUGUUGGCUGUUAGGGUUAUCUGCAUGAAAUCUGAUCAUUUAAAUACAUGCCAUGUCAUGCUACCUUGACUUUCAAAUCUGGAAAAUUUCCCCCAGUGACCCACUGCUGGGCAGAGCUUGUAAAGUUAACUUUUAAAGGAAUUCACUGUGGCUGUUAAUUGAGGUGACUUCCCAGAGACAGACUCAUCACUAUUGUUGCCGCUUCUGCAACCCCUGGAGAGGGACAAACUGUCCCAGAAGACUCUGGGCUAAAGCCCACCACCUCCCAGAAUGGGCCCUGGGCCUGUGCCAGGAUUCCAUUUAGGAGAAGGGGGAGCUAUUUGGCUGAUUUGUAAGGUACUCAGAAGAGUUUCUGGCAUAGAUGCAGCUCUAUAAGGAUUUUUGAAUCAAACAACUCUGUCAGCCUUCUUAAUGAUAUAUCUUAUUAGAAGCCACAAAUCAAAAUGAUAGUGAUGCAGUCUGAGAAAGAACCAAUCGGCUCAGAUACCAGGUGUGAACAGUUUGUACAAACUUUCUAUGACAUAGCAGCUGAAUACUAACCGGGAUGUCAGUUCUAAUACUUUUUCAGGUUUAAUUGCAUAUAUUGAAAUUGGAGCACAAUCUUAAAUAGAAGUGGUGAUGAUUGACUUCCUUAUAUUGCUCCUGACUGUACUGGAAAAGUUGGUCAGGGAGAGAGAUUACUGUAAAUAAUGGUAAGGGAAACUCUUAUAUUCUAUUUUAUUAAUAGUUUUUUUAAAAAUUAGAAACUGAUAGUGAAUUUUAUCCCAUGCUUUACUUUCUAUCAGGAUGGUUAUAUGAAUUGUUUAUUUUGUCCAAUUGAUGUUGUAACAUAUAUCAAUCCAUUUUCCAAGUUGGAGCGCCAUUGCAUUCCUGGAAUAAACCCUACUUGGUUAUGAUGCAUAACCUUUGUGUUAUACAUCUGAAUUUAGUAUACUAAGGUUUCAUUUAGCAUUUUUUUGUAUCUAUUAGGCAUAAGUGUGGGAUUAGUUACUAUUGUGCUAAUUUUGUAACAGAAAUUGGUAUGUUUCCAUCUUUUUAUGCUUGCAAAAUUUAAAUGAUGUAGGGAUUUUCUGUUUCUUGAAGGUGGUUAGAACUUCCGCAGACAAAAGUAUAGGGUUUUUGUGUGGAUCAUAUUUU
rnacentral:lncRNA from 1 species